UUUUAUUUCAUGCGUGUCCAGUAGGGAUACGCAGCGGUCUGGAGGUGUAAAGCCAUUUGGUGUGAGCUGAAUCCGGGCGGCCAGCGGGUGUUGAAGACAAGCCAGCAGAGACAGGAUGCAGAGGAGCUCCCACAUUAAGACAGCUAAGAUGGACGAUGCCGCCACCUGAAACAUCAUUUGACACUCAGCUGCAUCUGGAACAUCUGCUGUGACAGGCCCGUUGGGGCGGCGUUCGCUUCACCUCGGCGUGCGGAACCCUCCUGCGGUAUCUGGGGACACUUACUGAAAGCGAUCCAGGCCUUUCUACAAGAGGGCUCUCUGCUGGAGUGGGGCUGGGGCUCAGGGAGAAGAUUCAUCACCAAAGAGCAGCUGGAAAGAUGGAUGGAAGCUGGCUGGAGAUGCAGGACCAACGGAGGAGACUUCUCUGUGUCGUCUCCAGGAUGGCAAUGUCAUGUGACUUUCAGCCAUGUUUUCAUAGCUGUAUUUAUGUAGCGUAUUAGCACGUAAUUAGAGACUGAUUUUUUUUUUUUUUCGUUUGUUUUAGUGCACAGGAAACUCACUGAGUAGAAAGAGCAAGUAGGAAUGGGACGCAGAAAAUGAUCUGGGCAGAAUUAGACAGAGGCCUCUGCAACCUUUCAGCAUAAAGAUGACCUACUCUACCAGGUCAGCUGCCCUAUAGGCUGAUUUUCAUUCUUUUAGCAAAUAUGUCAAGAAAUCAUUCUGCUAUUUUUACUGUAAACAUAUCACAACCCCAAUGCUGUUUAAAAUGUAAAUAAAGGAGAAUGUCA